rnacentral:tRNA from 1 species
AUUUUAUUAGUAUAUUUAUAGUAUAUUUGUUUUCCAAGCAAAAGGUUUAAAAUUUUAAAUAAAAUA